rnacentral:misc_RNA from 1 species
UCCGGUUCUUCACCGGCAGUCUCCUUAGAGUCCCCACCUUUACGUGUUGGCAACUAAGGACAAGGGUUGCGCUCGUUACGGGACUUAACCCAACAUCUCACAACACGAGCUGACGACAGCCAUGCAGCACCUGUCUCACAGUUCCUUUCGGCACUCCAGCAUCUCUGCCAGAUUCUGUGGAUGUCAAGGGUAGGUAAGGUUCUUCGCGUUGCGUCGAAUUAAACCACAUGCUCCACCGCUUGUGCGGGCCCCCGUCAAUUCCUUUGAGUUUUAACCUUGCGGCCGUACUCCCCAGGCGGAGAACUUAUCGCGUUAGCUUCGAUACUUGUGCGCUCGCGCGCACCAACAUCUAGUUCUCAUCGUUUACAGCGUGGACUAC